rnacentral:rRNA from 1 species
UACGGGGGGGGCAAGCGUUGUUCGGAAUUACUGGGCGUAAAGGGCUUGUAGGUGGCCAACUAAGUCAGACGUGAAAUCCCUCAGCUUAACUGGGGAACUGCGUCUGAUACUGGAUGGCUUGAGUUUGGGAGAGGGACGCGGAAUUCCAGGUGUAGCGGUGAAAUGCGCAGAUAUCGGGAGGAACACCAAUGGCGAAGGCAGCUCGCUGGGACGUGACUGACGCUGAGACGCGAAAGCGUGGGGAGCAAACAGG